UAUUAGUGUACACAGAAGCACAUACAGAGAAGCUGCAGUGAACGAGCGGAACGUGUGUCGAAGCUGCCUGAUCAGUCUCUUCCACUCGCCCUCUUCAUUGCGGGUCUCAGCAGGUACUCAGUCAGGCGAAAGUAGCGUGUUACCCUCAGGGAAAUUGAGAAACUAAUUUCCGUUCCCCUCGGUUGCAGACGGGGAUCCACAUGAGAAAGCUGCUGAGUCUUGUCAGUGAGGACAUGCAGGAGACAAACACAUCGGUGGCAGCCAACAAAGAACCUAGAAGAUACUGCCAGAAUGGGCAGGCAGAACCAGCUGAACUGGCCACAGACAAAAGGCACUGAACUGCUCUCCUCAUGAGGCACAACUGACUGGAGUGGAGGCAGGCCUUAGUGCCACUCAGACUCAGCAAGCAGGGUCUGGAACAAAGAGGGCUAACAGCUCGUCUUGGAUUGGAUGACAAACCAAAGAGACAGGCUGACACUGGGCUGUCAGGGUGAUGCCAAGCCAUCUGCUCCUCUGGAGCUUCCAAGCGGGAGCGAGGUGGGCAGGAGUGGAGAAGAAAAAAGAGUAAGAAAACUAACACUAACCCCCCAGAAACUCUCUUUUGCCUAACCCAUAAUUCCCAAGCUGAUAUCAAAUGGCAAAUCAUAAAAUUAUCUUCGGAAAUAUGAGAGGGGUGGUUCACAGUUUUCAGUAGGAGGUUACUUGCGCUAAGCAACCAAAUUUCUACAGAGAUUUUGUGUCACUCAUGGAACCCUGAGGACAAUCCCAGAUGGCUGCACCUCAGCAGUCCUGAGUCAUUUGGUAUGGAGUGCAUAAAGGUCACUUCACAAGAAGACGAAGAAGAAGAGGAACAAGUUGAACACACAGAAGCACUGUAUCACAUUAAGCAAUAUUAAUAACACUUAAUAAAAACAGUAAUUAUAGCAUUGCAGUAAGUGUAAGGGGAGCUUAAAAUUGCUAAAAGUAUUUACACAGGAGAAAACUAAAGAAUGAGCUCUGUCUGUUAAAAGUUAUAACUAGAAGUAAAGGUCCAGGUUAAAAUAGAACCUAAGUUCAUAAAAAGUUUUGUAAACAGUGUUGACGUGUAUUGUGGGUGGAGCUGAACUAGUGACAGAAAGUGACAGCGGUAUCAGGUGUCACUUUAAAACAAUAUACAAGGUAUAUGGAUCAACUGGAUGUCUUCUCCAAACAUUUGAAUGGUUUUCCAGCAGAAGAUAAAGUUAAAGACGAGAAUAAGUGAACAAUGCCUGAGCAAAAUCUGGACAUUCUGGAACCAUGGACACUUCCCCUUAAGUCACCCUCACUGAUUACUUUGUAACGCUAAUGAUAUCAUGUGGUCUUAGCUUAGCUAACUUUGUAACUUUGCAAGUAAAGCAGAUAUAAUAUUACUAUAUUCCCCAUUCAUUCAUUAAAUGCUUGCAUAUGUACUGCCUGAUGUCAAAGCCAAAGUGUCUAUGAGCAAUUCGGUUUGUUUACAUGCUACUUCUGCUUAAAUGCUAAUGUCGCUAAUGAAAUAGCCUACCGAGAAUGCCAUCAUUGUGGUUGCGGCUGUUAUUAAGUUAUCAUCAUUAACUACAUCAUUGAUUUUGCCUUUGUGUGUGAUAAACAGUGGCGAUUUCAUCAGUCCAGUCUGUCCAUUUAAUGGCUUAUGAACAUAAACGUCUGCGUUUAGCCCCAAAGGGCGUGUUCGGCAACGGUAUAUAAAGAUCAAUGUCGUCUUUUUUUGUUUUCCAAUUGUGACAUCCGACAGCACAAUAAACAUACUUUUUUUUUCUUGCUA